GACGAACGCUGGCGGCGUGCUUAACACAUGCAAGUCGAACGGAAAGGCCCUGCUUUUGUGGGGUGCUCGAGUGGCGAACGGGUGAGUAACACGUGAGUAACCUGCCCUUGACUUUGGGAUAACUUCAGGAAACUGGGGCUAAUACCGGAUAGGAGCUCCUGCUGCAUGGUGGGGGUUGGAAAGUUUCGGCGGUUGGGGACGGACUCGCGGCUUAUCAGCUUGUUGGUGGGGUAGUGGCUUACCAAGGCUUUGACGGGUAGCCGGCCUGAGAGGGUGACCGGCCACAGUGGGCCUGAGGUACGGCCCAGACUCCUACGGGAGGCAGCAGUGGGGAAUAUUGCACAAUGGGCGGAAGCCUGAUGCAGCAACGCCGCGUGCGGGAUGACGGCCUUCGGGUUGUAAACCGCUUUCGCCUGUGACGAAGCGUGAGUGACGGUAAUGGGUAAAGAAGCACCGGCUAACUACGUG
rnacentral:rRNA from 1 species